rnacentral:rRNA from 1 species
UGAGACACGGCCCAGACUCCUACGGGAGGCAGCAGUGGGGAAUAUUGCACAAUGGGCGAAAGCCUGAUGCAGCGACGCCGCGUGAGGGAUGACGGCCUUCGGGUUGUAAACCUCUUUCGACAGGGACGAAGCGCAAGUGACGGUACCUGUAGAAGAAGCACCGGCCAACUACGUGCCAGCAGCCGCGGUAAUACGUAGGGUGCGAGCGUUGUCCGGAAUUACUGGGCGUAAAGAGCUUGUAGGCGGUUCGUCGCGUCGUUCGUGAAAACUUGGGGCUCAACCCCAAGCUUGCGGGCGAUACGGGCGGACUAGAGUACUUCAGGGGAGACUGGAAUUCCUGGUGUAGCGGUGAAAUGCGCAGAUAUCAGGAGGAACACCGGUGGCGAAGGCGGGUCUCUGGGAAGUAACUGACGCUGAGAAGCGAAAGCGUGGGUAGCGAACAGGAUUAGAUACCCUGGUAGUCCACGCCGUAAACGGUGGGUACUAGGUGUGGGUUUCCUUCCACGGGAUCCGUGCCGUAGCUAACGCAUUAAGUACCCCGCCUGGGGAGUACGGCCGCAAGGCUAAAACUCAAAGGAAUUGACGGGGGCCCGCACAAGCGGCGGAGCAUGUGGAUUAAUUCGAUGCAACGCGAAGAACCUUACCUGGGUUUGACAUACACCGGAAACCUGCAGAGAUGUAGGCCCCCUUGUGGUCGGUGUACAGGUGGUGCAUGGCUGUCGUCAGCUCGUGUCGUGAGAUGUUGGGUUAAGUCCCGCAACGAGCGCAACCCUUAUCUUAUGUUGCCAGCGCGUAAUGGCGGGGACUCGUGAGAGACUGCCGGGGUCAACUCGGAGGAAGGUGGGGACGACGUCAAGUCAUCAUGCCCCUUAUGUCCAGGGCUUCACACAUGCUACAAUGGCCGGUACAGAGGGCUGCGAUACCGUGAGGUGGAGCGAAUCCCUUAAAGCCGGUCUCAGUUCGGAUCGGGGUCUGCAACUCGACCCCGUGAAGUUGGAGUCGCUAGUAAUCGCAGAUCAGCAACGCUGCGGUGAAUACGUUCCCGGGCCUUGUACACACCGCCCGUCACGUCAGAAAGU